rnacentral:sRNA from 1 species
AUUUCCGGGAAGAUGGCGGCGCACAAGUCAGGUCCGGCACAUGUUUCCGCGGAAAGGACCCCGCAAUGACGGAUGAUAUCACCUCUUCUUCUCUGUUGAGAGUCUGAGGAUAGAAACUUUUUUCUCACCAUGAAUGUCACCCCAGAGGUCAAGAGUCGUGGGAUGAAGUUUGCUGAGGAGCAGCUGCUAAAGCAUGGAUGGACUCAAGGCAAAGGCCUCGGCCGGAAGGAGAAUGGUAUCACCCAGGCUCUCAGGGUGACACUGAAGCAAGACACUCAUGGGGUGGGACAUGACCCUGCCAAGGAGUUCACAAACCACUGGUGGAAUGAGCUCUUCAACAAGACUGCGGCCAACUUGGUAGUGGAAACUGGGCAGGAUGGAGUACAGAUAAGGAGCCUUUCUAAGGAGACCACCCGUUAUAAUCAUCCCAAGCCCAACCUGCUGUAUCAGAAGUUUGUGAAGGUAUUAGAGGCUGUGGGUAACAGAGUCCAUACUUAUUCUCUUUCCUGGUUUCCCUGGGGCCUGAACAGUUGCCUUGUAUGCCUUAUCAAUUCUCAGGACUUUCCUAACAUAGUGGGAUCCUGUGACCAGCCUUGCUGUUGCUUACUUAGACUGCCCAGACCCUCAGCAGGAAUUGAGAUCUUCAGGUUCCGUGGAUCCUGCCAUCUGUUAAGGGAGCAGCAAUAGGGUGUGGGAGGUAGGGUACAGUCUCUUAAGUCAGGAGCUGCCAGAUUUUGGGGGGGCCAGGGGACAUCUAAUUCAAAGGACUUAGAAGCCAGAGGAGACCUGAGAGAUUAUCUGGACCAUCCCUGCUUUGCAGAUGUGGCUAAAAGGGUGAAAAGUGGUUUGCUGAAGAGCCCACAGCUGGCUAGUAAUGGCAAACAGGACUGGAACCCAGGACUUCAGGCCUCCACUUUCUACUGUACCAAUAGAAGGAAGCUAACAUGUAAUGGUCAUUAUGUGCUAAGGGCUAUACAUGUUACCUAGCAAAUCUUUCCCAUUUCUCUACAUCUCUGUUACCAUCUACUA